rnacentral:rRNA from 1 species
GAGGUUAAUACCUCGCCGAUUGCGUUCCCCCCAAAGAAGCACCGGCUAAUUCCGUUCCAGCAGCGCGGUAAUACGAGGGUGCAAGCGUUAUUCGAAUUAUUGGCGUAAAGCGCCACGCAGGCGGUUCUGUUAAUUCAAAUUUAAAUUCCCCGGGCUUAACCUUGGAAACUGCAUUUGAAACUGGCAGGCUUGAGUCUCGUAGAAGGGGGGUAGAAUUCCAGGUGUAGCGGUGAAAUGCGUAGAGAUCUGGAGGAAAUACCGGUGGCGAAGGCGGCCCCCUUGGACGAAGACUGACGCUCAGGUGCGAAAGCGUGGGGAGCAAACCAGGAUUAGAUACCCUGGUAGUCCACGCCGUAAACGAUGUCGACUUGGAGGUUGUUCCCUUGAGGAGUGGCUUCCGGAGCUAACGCGUUAAGUCGACCGCCUGGGGAGUACGGCCGCAAGGUUAAAACUCAAAUGAAUUGACGGGGGCCCGCACAAGCGGUGGAGCAUGUGGUUUAAUUCGAUGCAACGCGAAGAACCUUACCUACUCUUGACAUCCAGAGAACUUAGCAGAGAUGCUUUGGUGCCUUCGGGAACUCUGAGACAGGUGCUGCAUGGCUGUCGUCAGCUCGUGUUGUGAAAUGUUGGGUUAAGUCCCGCAACGAGCGCAACCCUUAUCCUUUGUUGCCAGCGAUUCGGUCGGGAACUCAAAGGAGACUGCCGGUGAUAAACCGGAGGAAGGUGGGGAUGACGUCAAGUCAUCAUGGCCCUUACGAGUAGGGCUACACACGUGCUACAAUGGCGCAUACAAAGAGAAGCGACCUCGCGAGAGCAAGCGGACCUCACAAAGUGCGUCGUAGUCCGGAUCGGAGUCUGCAACUCGACUCCGUGAAGUCGGAAUCGCUAGUAAUCGUGGAUCAGAAUGCCACGGUGAAUACGUUCCCGGGCCUUGUACACACCGCCC